UUACCACACCGAUCCACGAUCUCCCCUAUUGCGAAGCUAGGCAUGGGUUAUUGGAGUGUUUUGACGCGGUACCACGUGCCGCUAGUUCCUUUGGCCUUGCCGAGUUAUCUAACCAAACUGUGUGCUGUAGUUUUGCUGCAGCACGCAAACCCUGGGUGUCGAGUCGCAAGACUUGAUGCCCUCCCCAUACGAAACAGAUUGUAAUGAACGUGAAUUAAAGAUAGACAUGGCCGUAUGCAUGAUAGUAAUCAUGUCAUGGCGGCCGGUCUGUCAGUAAAGUAAUGUAACUUACAACUUUCAGCAACGGAUGUCUAGGUUCCCACAACGAUGAAGAACGCAGCGAAAUGCGAUACGUAAUGCGAAUUGCAAUUUCUCGUGAAUCAUCAAAAUUUUGAACGCACAUUGCGCUUCCGGGAUAUGCCCGGUAGCAUGCUUAUCUGAGUGUCCGCGAACCCCACUCAGCCUCAUUACUGUGUGAUGAGGGCUGGACUGUGGCACUGCACCGGUUUGAGUACUGGUGCUGUGUUGGAAUGCGUGACGUUUUCUGCGUGGCGAGGCUAUUGGUUGUGUCUCGUGCUGUAGUAUGCAGUCGUCUCUGGUAGAGGCACUUUACGUGCAUUCGAAAGGAGAGUUAUCUGUGUAAUACGUGCACUUUGAGUCAUUGAUUGUAGCCGCACGAACUAUUAAGGUAUUAAUUGGUUCUGUGUGCGUUUU
rnacentral:rRNA from 1 species